AUCCUUCCCGAGUGAGCACAAGCCAAGGAGGCCUAUACUAGCUGUCUAACAAUCACCAUCCUGGACCUUCCCAGAUUAACUUCCUGCCGCCAUAGCCCCUGAAGAUAUGGGCUGGCCCACUGUCAUUGCCAUGUCCCUUCUUCCUGGGCUCCCUCACCAGGAGAGGUUUUGCACAGCAGGAGUGAGGAGCCCCUGAUUCACCUGACUGUCUUCAAAAACAGAGCAGACAGUCUCCCUGGCUUUCAGCAGGAUGCCUGAGAAGAGGACUGGGAGAAUAUGACCGGAUGGCAGAAUAACUGCACACGAUCCUGGCCCGUGGCGUAUCCGGUCUGAGACAGCUGCACAGCCUGGGAGGUCCAGCGUGGGCCGUGUGGGAACUUGGGGUCCUGUCCUGUCUUCACGGCUACUAAUGACUUCAGGGAGGCUGCUCAGAGCGGGCUGGAAGAGUAACCAGAUGCCGAAGACGCAGCUCUUUGAAGAGCUCAAGAGGGCCAAAGAAUGGACCAAAGUGAUCAAGGACAAGACAGAUGGCAGGGCGGGCGGUACGGUGUCUGAGUACCACAUGCAGGCCUCAGGGGCGGCUCACCGCGCCAGGGUGAUGUGGCUGCCCAACCUAGCACACUUCCAGGCAGUAGUCCAAGAGCAACAUUGAGGCCAAGGUCACUGUGAGCCGAGUAAGCAAGCUAGAAUUUAAAGGAGACUGACCAGGACGGCCAGUAUGUGCCUACCGAACAGUGGUGGGCUUAUUUAGGAGAGGGCUGGUGGGCUGAGGACCCCCAGGCUCUGCCCAAUCCACUGUGUAUGGAAUCAACCGGUAAAGGGGUUCGGGAAAGCUCUGCUUCCCGGUUGGCAUGUUCUGAGGAAAGGGGCCCAACAGAUGCGCAGCCCACCACCCCACAGGGCACCCGCUUCGACUAGUCUUCCUGAGCAAGGCCUCCCUGCGGAACCGUGAAGAGACUCCACUGCCAUGGCAAUGGCUCUAACGGGUCUGGGCUAUCUAAAGACCCACUCUCGGGGACAGGGCCAUCAUCUGUGGGUCUCCGGGGUCAGAUCGAUGGCGAAGAUCUACGUACAGGGAAGGCCAAAUACAACUUCGUAACAGCUAACCAAACACAAGCGGGGGGGGGGGGGGGCAAUUUGUUUGACUGAUUUCUCAGUUCCCGCAGGCAGCACAAGGGGUUGGUGGAGUGCCAGGCCUGGACCUGAGAGGAGAUGAGCUUCACCAACACCAGCGUCCUGCCUUCCAGUCCUACAUUUCCUACAGUGCCAGGCCUGGACCUGAGAGGAGACGAGCUUCACCAACACCAGCGCCCUGCCUUCUAGUCCUACAUUUCCUUCCUGCAGAUGUUAUCCGCACGGAGGUGUGAUGGCACAUAACUGUGACCCAGCAGCUGGGAGAUGGGAGCGGGUCAAAGGUCAGCUGGAGGCCGGCCAGGGCUACACGUUGAGAUCCUGUCUCAAAAGGAAAACCUCAUUCCAUCCCUUACAAGAAAAAAAUCAAACAUCCUUAUCCUCAGUGAUGGGGUGAGCACCAGGCCACAAGUACAGAGGUCUGUAGGAGCAGGAAUUCAUAUAUGUGCAUGUGUGUAUACACAUAUAUGUAUCAUGUAUAUGCAUAUAUAUAUAUAUAUUAAAACUUAUUCUUUUAACUGUCAUCAAAUAUAAAGUAACGGCGCCAUGGCUACCACAUCAUCAAAUUCCUUUUCAUCUCACAUGAUGAAAUCGGGAGCCACUGGAUGCUAAUUUGCCCCUCCUAUCCCGACCUCUGGGAACCACCAUCCGACCGUUUUUUCCCCCUCUGUGAGUUGGGCACCGACAAAUGUGGAAAAAAGAAUCCUUCCAUUCCUGACUCAUUUUACUCCGCAGGUGUCCUUGUGGCAACACGUGUCAGAAUGGACUUUUUUUUUUUUUAAAGUAUCUGUGCAUUAUUCUUUUUUUAUGCCUGUGUGUGUGCCUGCGUGAGAUUCCAUACACCACACAAAGGUAAACGCGUUUGUAAGCUGCCCGGCGUGGGUGCUGGGAACCGAACCUGGGUCCCCUGGAGAGCAGCGAGCACUCCUAAUUCCUGAGCCCACACCUCUCCACUUACAGUGAGCCACAGUGUGCUUAGAUUUACAGGCCUCUGGCCCUGGGGGAUGGAUCCUGUCAGCAGCCCACGGGACGGUGCUUCAGCGUCCGCUGAAGGCUAAGUGAGCGUGUGUAUCAGCUGGGUGUGGGGGAAACCCAUCUCCAGCCGCGCUUGGGAAUUCUCCACCUCAUAAUUAAAGACCAACCAAAGUGUUUACUAUAGAAAUCACGAGAACAUUUCCAAAAGCUUAAGAAAAAUGCAAACUUGGAGAAAGAAAGUAGUAUUUUUAAAAAACGAGCACAUUUUACCUAUACAGAUUUCUAAAGUUUUAAAUCUCAUUUAUUUAUUUACUAAUUUUUUGAAACAGAGUUGUGCUUUGUAGCCCAGGCUGGUCUAGAAUUCUUGUUUCCUUUCCUUUAGCUAACUAAAUAACUAACUAAUUAACUAGUAUGUGUAUAUUUGUGUGGGGGGGGUCAAAGGGCAACAUGCUGGAUUCUGUUCUCUCCUUCCUCUGUGUGGGUUCUAGGGAUCAAACUCAGGUCAUUGGGCUUGGCAGCAAUCACCUUUACCUACUCAGCCAUGUCACUGCCCCUGGUGCCGAGCUCUUUACCCCUUUCCAUUAUUUAUUUGUGUGUGUCUCUGUCUGUCUGCCUCUUUGUAUCUGUGUGCCUGCAUCUCUUUGUCUCUUUGUAUCUGUGUGUCUCUGUGUGUCUGUGUAUGUCUUUGUAUCUGUGUGUGUGUGUGUGUGUGUGUGUCUUGGUAUCUAUGCAUCUGUGUGUGUGUAAGUGUGUGUCUGUGUGCAUAUACACCUGAGCAUGCCAUAGAGUUUGUAUGUGGGUCAGAUGUCGCAACUUUCAUGAGCUGGUUCUUCACUUCCACUGUGUGGGUCCCACGGAUGGAACUCAGGUCAUCCAGGCUUGGCUGCAAGUGUCUUUACUCACUGAUCCAUGCUGCUGGUCCCCUGGCCUGGAACUUUCAGUCUACCUGCCUCAGCCUCCUGAGUGCAAGGAUUACAGGUAUGUGCCACCAUGCCUAGCAGGACAGAAUUUUUUUUUAAUGGUUGGAUGGAGGUAAUCUGUAUGUCACACUCCUAGCAGCGAUCCUGAAACUGGUGUCCAGACACCCAUGUUUGUUCUUUUCAACCUAAGAAUCAGUCUAAAGGGAUUCUUCUGAUGUUAGCCAACACUUCCAGCCAAGGGUAAAUACUGCUAAACAUUACUGUUUAGGGUAUUAUAUGAGUUCAGAUAUCUUUUCUGAAAGGACACAAAACACAAAAUUACUGGUGCCACCUCUGCUGUGGAGGAAGCUGGGGUAUGAAUGAGAUGUCACCUUUCUGUGCUGAUGGCCUUUUGCUGGCUUUUUUCCUCAAACUGUAGACUUGUAAAAUCUUUCCGAGAGGUAUCACUGGCCUUUUUGUUUUUCUUUUUUUUUUCUCUUUAUUUUUUUUUAUGCUAGCAAAUCAACAGCAGGAAAUACUGCUUAAAAACCUAACUCAUUCAAAAGUUCCAAGUUUGUCUUUAUAAACAUUUGAGCAAAUUUUUUGACUAGCCAGUGUUCAUUUUCUUAUUACUCCAAAAUGGAGUAAUUGGUGAGUGGUGGUUUUUUUGGGGUUCAGUUUCAGUAGUCAUAUCCUCAGGGAGAGUAGGGGCCCCCAAGGAAGGUGUUAAAUGGUGGCCUUUCUCGCUGGGUUUCUGAUUAAAGGGAAGCACAGCGGUUCGUUUUGAAUGCGUACCUCAGGUCCAUUGCCUUGGGAAUUCUCCAUUAAUCUCUGUACAAAUCUCUCAACUAUCUGGGGCCUCCCAACUGAGAAGUUCUCUUUCAUGACUUGGUGUUUCCAAAGAUCUAGAAAAAACAGAUAAGCAUGAACAUCGCAAAACAGACUGGUGUCAUGUAUGAGGCUCCACAGCUCUCUAACAAUGCCAGCACAACCUGCCACUUAGAAACGCCAGUGAGGAAGGGGAGGGAGGCAUCUGCAUCGUGGUGUGAGGGAGAUCUCUAGCAAGGUUCUUAACAGAAAUAUUUGGGGAAGCCCUCCUGAAAAGCAGUGAAUGAUACUUUCACUGUUGCCAAAACCCUGAAGGGAAUGCUACACUGCUCUUGGCGUCUCCCGACGUCCAUCUUCAUUAAUAUCCUGUCUCCGAACGAUGGUUUUAGUCAACACGGCUAUGAGGAGUAAACGAAGAGCAACGUGGCCGACGCACAGGAGAUGAGGAACAAAGGCAAACCUGGUCUGGUCAACAGGGAAAGCAAAGAGCCUGAUAGAAAAGACUGGAGCCUCCGUUAAGCCUGCAGGGUCACUCACUUCUAAGUCCCUCCAGUCCUAACUUUCUCUGAGAAGCCACCAGCUCCAGGCUCUCCGAGGUGUCAAAGCUAAAUGCGAGUCUCUGGAGAAGCCCCUGCCUCUCUUUGGAAGCCAUGUCCCUUUCGGCUGCAAUGAACUGUCGGUGAGUGGAGAUUCCAAGGUUGGUAGGCCUGGGAGUUAGAGUGGUACCCAUUCCACAGACUAAACCGAAGAAAUGCACGCCCAUCACCCAUGGCACACAGUGGGGACCCACUUGUUUCCAUUAGAGAGCUCUCUGACUUCAUACUGAGACAUGUCUUCACUGUGAGACAGGCUCGAACAGACCAAAGGCCAAAACCAAAAUAAAACCGAACUGUAGCAAUC